GAUGAAGAACGUAGCGAAAUGCGAUACGUAAUGUGAAUUGCAGAAUUCAGUGAAUCAUCGAAUCUUUGAACGCAUAUUGCGCUCUCUGGUAUUCCGGAGAGCAUGCUUGUUUGAGUAUCAGUAAACACCUCAACUCCCUUUUCUUUUUUGAAAUUGGAGCUGGACUUGAGUGAUCCCAACGCUUUCUUCCAAGAAAGUGGCGGGUUGCUUGAAAUGCAGGUGCAGCUGAACUUUUCUCUGAGCUAUAAGCAUAUCUAUUUAGUCUGCCUAAAAAACAGAUUAUUACCUUUGCUGCAGCUAACAUAAAGGAGAUUAGUUCUUGUGCUGACUGAUGCAGGAUUCACAAAGACGGCUUCGGCCGACUUUGUAAACUCGAUCUCAAAUCAAGUAAGACUACCCGCUGAACUUAAGCAUAUCAAUAGCGGAGGA
rnacentral:misc_RNA from 1 species